CCUACGGGUGGCAGCAGUGAGGAAUAUUGGUCAAUGGCCGGAAGGCUGAACCAGCCAUGCCGCGUGAAGGUCAGUGCCCUAUGGGCGUUAAACUUCUUUUGUGCGGGAGCAAUAAUGGUCACGUGUGGCCAGACGAGAGUACCGUACGAAUAAGCAUCGGCUAACUCCGUGCCAGCAGCCGCGGUAAUACGGGGGAUGCAGGCGUUAUCCGGAUUUUUUGGGUUUAAAGGGUUCGUAGGCUGUGAGGUAAGUCAGCGGUGAAAAGCCCCCGCUCAACGGGGUGAAGUGCCAUUGAUACUGGCUUGCUGGAGUGCGGAUGAGGUGGGAGGAAUGUGUGGUGUAGCGGUGAAAUGCAUAGAUAUCACACAGAACACCGAUUGCGAAGGCAUCUCACGAAUCCGCGAUUGACGCUGAUGCACGAAAGCGUGGGUAUCAAACAGGAUUAGAUACCCGGGUAGUC
rnacentral:rRNA from 1 species